GACGAACUGCCCAAACGUUGUUCGGAAUCACUGGGCUUAAAGGGUGCGUAGGCGGCUUAUCAAGUCAGGGGUGAAAUCCGGCAGCUCAACUGUCGAAGUGCCUUUGAUACUGAUAAGCUCGAGGGAGGUAGGGGUCCGUGGAACUUCUGGUGGAGCGGUGAAAUGCGUUGAUAUCAGAAGGAACGCCAGUGGCGAAAGCGACGGACUGGAUCUCUUCUGACGCUGAGGCACGAAAGCUAGGGGAGCAAACGGG
rnacentral:rRNA from 1 species